GCCCGUUUUACCCGCGGGAAAGCCGAGGCCCGGUGCUGUAUUCUGCCGCCCAUUUUACCCGCGGGGAAGCUGAGGCCCAGUGCUGUUUAAUAUCUUACUCAUGUUCACUUGAUGAGAAAGUGACAGAUCUGAGACAAACCCAGUUCUAGAGGUUAUGACACCAGCCAUGGAAGAGCAGAGAGGCCAAUGAGGUGGGGAGGUUGGAAACAAAAGGCCUUCUCCACCCCAGCUUGACCAACCCAAAAGCUGGAAGGCAAGGAAGACCUAGAAAGGGACCAGCUUGACGAAGCUUCUGCUUUUGUGACUGUCUCCUAAUGUUUGAGAUUCCAAAUACGAUUUCUGUGGAGAAAACAAAAAAGGACUCUGUUUUUAAUUCAAAAGGGAGAAGUGAAAUUCUACCUCACUUUUUUAAAAGAAGAGCCUGGAAUUGGCCUAUCCGUCUUUUUCCCCGUUGGAUCACAGAGCAGAAAGGAAGCUAAGACCUCUAGUACAGUGUUCAAUGGAACUGGUGAGAAAAGACGUCCUUGCUGUGUUCCUGAUAUGAAGAGGAAAGCAGUCCUUCUCCAUUAAAUGCUGACAACAUGAGCCUCCCGUGGUCGGAACGGGCUUGUGAAGGCGGUGCUGGGGUGCACCAGGGCAGCAGCUACAGGAAGGGCUCCAUCCUGUGCUCAACCCUGGGGAUGCUGGACAGCUUUGAGGAGGUCACAGAACCAGGCCAGUGUUCGAACUCAGGAGCCGAAUGUGGAGCCUGUGCUCGUAGGUGUCGCUAAUUCCACUCCUGCUUCCUGUGUCCUGUAAGCUUAAGUGACAUGCUCCAGGCAGCGCUUAAUCUAGGGCGUCUGGAUUCCCACCCAGGCGUUUCAGACGCCCAAGCCCAGCCUCCUCGACUCAGCCAUGCUGCUAUGCCUCUGACUGUGGAUCCCAGGCCAAAGACAGAGGUUCUAACCCCCUUCUCCCCCAAGGUGGCUACCUUAGUUAACAGCUUUCUUGCCAUCUGCCCUUCCCAUCUCCACCCACCCCAAGUCCCUUCCUUUCUACCUGUGGAAUGUCUACUGGUCUCAGCCUCCUCCCCCGAGUGCCUCUUCCCUUCCAGCUGUCAUCAGGACCAUGUGACUCCUAGGACUCACUCUCUGCCUGCCCUACCUGCCCCCAACUACCUCUGCCACCUGCUGCUACCCUCCCCCAAUCCAUCCUGUCCAUGAAUACCAGGGCCUUUCUAAAGCAGUGAUGGAAGCUGAACACGCCCUGCUGGAAAGGCAGUGAUGGCUUCCCCUUAUCCUAACUCUGCAGCCUGGAUGUCACUUCCUCUCUGAAUCUCAUGGUCCAGCUCUUGUGGUGGGAGCUGCCUGGAGCUCCAUAGAAGGAUUCGAAGGCCAGGUCAGAGCUUCCUGGAGCCUAGGGCCAUGAUUGAUUAGUAAUGCCUCCAGGGCACAGGACGGGUAAGCAGGGGUGUGUUUACCAUCAAUCUCUCUCUCUGGCAACUUGUGGUCACUUGAGCAUACUAUAUGGUUUUGGGAGCCUGAGUUUUGAAUGUCCCUUUCAUUUCAUAGGAUAUUUUACCCUCUUUGGGUCACUUUGCAAACUCUUAAUUGUCCUUCAAGACUCUUCUCUGCAGAAGUCAAUCCUUUGAGGUUUUAACAGACCCCACGAGCCGUGUUAUCCCCAGUUGCUGCUAUAAACCCUUGGAUAUC
ensembl:lncRNA MIR646HG MIR646 host gene